rnacentral:rRNA from 1 species
CUAAGAAUCUUCCGCAAUGGACGAAAGUCUGACGGAGCGACGCCGCGUGGGUGAAGAAGGCCGAGAGGUUGUAAAGCCCUUUUCUGUCUGAGGAAUAAGCCUGGGAGGGAAUGCCCGGGUGAUGACGGUAGGACAGGAAUAAGCCCCGGCUAAUUACGUGCCAGCAGCCGCGGUAACACGUAUGGGGCGAGCGUUGUUCGGAAUUAUUGGGCGUAAAGGGCGCGUAGGCGGAAAUGCAAGUCUGGUGUGAAAGACCGCAGCUUAACUGCGGGAGCGCGCUGGAAACUGCAUAUCUUGAAUCCUUGAGGGGAAACUGGAAUUCCUGGUGUAGGGGUGAAAUCUGUAGAUAUCAGGAAGAACAUCGGUGGCGAAGGCGAGUUUCUGGCAAGUGAUUGACGCUGAGGCGCGAAAGCGUGGGGAGCAAACAGGAUUAGAUACCCCCGUAGUCC